CAACAUUCUCAAAAUAAUGUUUUUUUUUUAUCAUUCAAAAAUUGAUUUUGAAUCCGAGUGAAUGUUCUAAUUUUUAUGCAACUCCAAUCGCCUCCCUGUGGAUCGACCUCUUACAACCACUAUUCUUCGAGUAGGAAAGGUAAGAGUAGAAUUUAAAUUUAACUUUUGUUCGUCGGUUCUAACAACGAUCCGUCUAGCAUAUUUUUAGGUGGACAGGAAAGGACGAACAGAAUUUUGGCGCCGUUGCCGGGGAGGCAAAUCGAGAAGCAAGAACGAUCACGAAGAUCAAAUCGGAUUUUGGAUGCCCGGAGUGAACGCACUCCGGUAGUAAGUUUUUAUUUUUAUUAAUUUUUCUUAUUUUGAUUAUUUUCAGUUAGUAAUUUCGUAGUUAUUAAAUUCUGAAAUUUGAAAUUCGAAAUUAAAGUUUUCUAAA
rnacentral:lncRNA from 1 species